CGAGUGGCGGACGGGUGAGUAAUGUCUGGGAAACUGCCCGAUGGAGGGGGAUAACUACUGGAAACGGUAGCUAAUACCGCAUAACGUCGCAAGACCAAAGAGGGGGACCUUCGGGCCUCUUGCCAUCGGAUGUGCCCAGAUGGGAUUAGCUAGUAGGUGGGGUAACGGCUCACCUAGGCGACGGUCCCUAGCUGGUCUGAGAGGAUGACCAGCCACACUGGAACUGAGACACGGUCCAG
rnacentral:rRNA from 1 species